rnacentral:rRNA from 1 species
CACACCCGGAGAACUGAAACAUCUUAGUACCCGGAGGAAGAGAAAGAAAAUUCGAUUCCCUUAGUAGCGGCGAGCGAAACGGGAAGAGCCCAAACCAACAAGCUUGCUUGUUGGGGUUGUAGGACACUCUAUACGGAGUUACAAAGGACGACAUUAGACGAAUCAUCUGGAAAGAUGAAUCAAAGAAGGUAAUAAUCCUGUAGUCGAAAAUGUUGUCUCUCUUGAGUGGAUCCUGAGUACGACGGAGCACGUGAAAUUCCGUCGGAAUCUGGGAGGACCAUCUCCUAAGGCUAAAUACUCUCUAGUGACCGAUAGUGAACCAGUACCGUGAGGGAAAGGUGAAAAGCACCCCGGAAGGGGAGUGAAAUAGAACCUGAAACCGUGUGCUUACAAGUAGUCAGAGCCCGUUAAUGGGUGAUGGCGUGCCUUUUGUAGAAUGAACCGGCGAGUUACGAUUUGAUGCAAGGUUAAGCAGUAAAUGUGGAGCCGUAGCGAAAGCGAGUCUGAAUAGGGCGUUUAGUAUUUGGUCGUAGACCCGAAACCAGGUGAUCUACCCUUGGUCAGGUUGAAGUUCAGGUAACACUGAAUGGAGGACCGAACCGACUUACGUUGAAAAGUGAGCGGAUGAACUGAGGGUAGCGGAGAAAUUCCAAUCGAACCUGGAGAUAGCUGGUUCUCUCCGAAAUAGCUUUAGGGCUAGCCUCAAGUGAUGAUUAUUGGAGGUAGAGCACUGUUUGGACGAGGGGCCCCUCUCGGGUUACCGAAUUCAGACAAACUCCGAAUGCCAAUUAAUUUAACUUGGGAGUCAGAACAUGGGUGAUAAGGUCCGUGUUCGAAAGGGAAACAGCCCAGACCACCAGCUAAGGUCCCAAAAUAUAUGUUAAGUGGAAAAGGAUGUGGCGUUGCCCAGACAACUAGGAUGUUGGCUUAGAAGCAGCCAUCAUUUAAAGAGUGCGUAAUAGCUCACUAGUCGAGUGACACUGCGCCGAAAAUGUACCGGGGCUAAACAUAUUACCGAAGCUGUGGAUUGUCCUUUGGACAAUGGUAGGAGAGCGUUCUAAGGGCGUUGAAGCAUGAUCGUAAGGACAUGUGGAGCGCUUAGAAGUGAGAAUGCCGGUGUGAGUAGCGAAAGACGGGUGAGAAUCCCGUCCACCGAUUGACUAAGGUUUCCAGAGGAAGGCUCGUCCGCUCUGGGUUAGUCGGGUCCUAAGCUGAGGCCGACAGGCGUAGGCGAUGGAUAACAGGUUGAUAUUCCUGUACCACCUAUAAUCGUUUUAAUCGAUGGGGGGACGCAGUAGGAUAGGCGAAGCGUGCGAUUGGAUUGCACGUCUAAGCAGUAAGGCUGAGUAUUAGGCAAAUCCGGUACUCGUUAAGGCUGAGC